rnacentral:rRNA from 1 species
GACGAACGCUGGCGGCGUGCUUAACACAUGCAAGUCGAACGGUAAGGCCCUUCGGGGUACACGAGUGGCGAACGGAUGAGUAACACGUGGGUGAUCUGCCCUGCACUUCGGGAUAAGCCUGGGAAACUGGGUCUAAUACCGGAUAGGACUCCUGCCUGCAUGGGUGGGGGUGGAAAGCUUUUGCGGUGUGGGAUGGGCCCGCGGCCUAUCAGCUUGUUGGGGGGGUGAUGGCCUACCAAGGCGACGACGGGUAGCCGGCCUGAGAGGGUGACCGGCCACGCUGUGACUGAGGUACGGCCCAGACUCCUACGGGAGGCAGCUGUGGGGAAUAUUGCACAAUGGGCGAAAGCGUGAUGCAGCGACGCCGCGUGAGGGAUGACGGCCUUCGGGCUGUAAACCUCUUUCAGCACAGACGAAGCGCAAGUGACGGUAUGUGCAGAAGAAGGACCGGCCAACUACGUGCCAGCCGCCGCCGUAA